ACCCCAGGUCAGRCGGGAUCACCCGCUGAGUUUAA
rnacentral:rRNA from 1 species